rnacentral:rRNA from 1 species
GAUGAACGCUGGCGGCGUGCCUAAUACAUGCAAGUCGAGCGAACAGACGAGGAGCUUGCUCCUCUGACGUUAGCGGCGGACGGGUGAGUAACACGUGGAUAACCUACCUAUAAGACUGGGAUAACUUCGGGAAACCGGAGCUAAUACCGGAUAAUAUAUUGAACCGCAUGGUUCAAUAGUGAAAGACGGUUUUGCUGUCACUUAUAGAUGGAUCCGCGCCGCAUUAGCUAGUUGGUAAGGUAACGGCUUACCAAGGCAACGAUGCGUAGCCGACCUGAGAGGGAGGUCGGCCACACUGGAACUGAGACACGGUCCAGACUCCUACGGGAGGCAGCAGUAGGGAAUCUUCCGCAAUGGGCGAAAGCCUGACGGAGCAAAGCCGCGUGAGUGAUGAAGGUCUUCGGAUCGUAAAACUCUGUUAUUAGGGAAGAACAAAUGUGUAAGUAACUAUGCACGUCUUGACGGUACCUAAUCAGAAAGCCACGGCUAACUACGUG